rnacentral:rRNA from 1 species
GAUGAACGCUGGCGGCGUGCCUAAUACAUGCAAGUCGAGCGAACAGACGAGGAGCUUGCUCCUCUGACGUUAGCGGCGGACGGGUGAGUAACACGUGGAUAACCUACCUAUAAGACUGGGAUAACUUCGGGAAACCGGAGCUAAUACCGGAUAAUAUAUUGAACCGCAUGGUUCAAUAGUGAAAGGCGGUUUUGCUGUCACUUAUAGAUGUAUCCGCGCCGCAUUAGCUAGUUGGUAAGGUAACGGCUUACCAAGGCAACGAUGCGUAGCCGACCUGAGAGGGUGAUCGGCCACACUGGAACUGAGACACGGUCCAGACUCCUACGGGAGGCAGCAGUAGGGAAUCUUCCGCAAUGGGCGAAAGCUUGACGGAGCAACGCCGCGUGAGUGAUGAAGGUCUUCGGAUCGUAAAACUCUGUUAUUAGGGAAGAACAAAUGUGUAAGUAACUAUGCACGUCUUGACGGUACCUAAUCAGAAAGCCACGGCUAACUACGUG